AUUGAACGCUGGCGGCAGGCUUAACACAUGCAAGUCGAGCGGGGGAAGGUAGCUUGCUACUGGACCUAGCGGCGGACGGGUGAGUAAUGCUUAGGAAUCUGCCUAUUAGUGGGGGACAACAUCUCGAAAGGGAUGCUAAUACCGCAUACGUCCUACGGGAGAAAGCAGGGGAUCUUCGGACCUUGCGCUAAUAGAUGAGCCUAAGUCGGAUUAGCUAGUUGGUGGGGUAAAGGCCUACCAAGGCGACGAUCUGUAGCGGGUCUGAGAGGAUGAUCCGCCACACUGGGAAUGGGACACGGCCCAGACUCCUACGGGAGGCAGCAGUUGGGAAUAUUGGACAAUGGGGGGAACCCUGAUCCAGCCAUGCCGCGUGUGGGAAGAAGGCCUUAUGGUUGUAAAGCACUUUAAGCGAGGAGGAGGCUACUCUAGUUAAUACCUAGGGAUAGUGGACGUUACUCGCAGAAUAAGCACCGGCUAACUCUGUGCCAGCCGCCGCAGUAA
rnacentral:rRNA from 1 species